GGAAUCGCUAGUAAUCGUGGAUCAGAAUGCCACGGUGAAUACGUUCCCGGGCCUUGUACACACCGCCCGUCACACCAUGGGAGUGGGCUGCAAAAGAAGUGGGUAGUUUAACCUUCGGGAGGACGCUCACCACUUUGUGGUUCAUGACUGGGGUGAAGUCGUAACAAGGUAGCGCUAGGGGAACCUGGCGCUGGAUCACCUCCUUAUACGAUGAU
rnacentral:rRNA from 1 species